GGGAGGUAUUCUGGUAUCCACUUACGCCAUUUCUAGCAAAACCCAAUGUUUUUUUUACCAAGAACUAUGAGAUACACUCUCAACCUUGGCAUAAGCCUCUUCAAAUUCCAGUUUGAACAAGAUUGGUUUCUUCUCUCUUUUUUGUUUCAUCCACCAAUUCAAUUGUAAUUAAAAGCCGUCAAGAGUGUGUAUAAUAUACUUACAAAAGCUGAUUGUGAAUCUGAGACGACUUUAUUAAUCACUUUUUCUCUUUUGAAAAUUCGGUACCCGACCUAAAGAUUGAUUAAUUUAAGAUGUCUCUCUACACUGAUACCAUAAAAAGAUAUCUUUCUUACUAAAGCUUGUUUGAUCAAGCUAUUGGUAACCCUAAUCUUAACCUAAUAUUUUCCGUCCAUUGUGUUAGCAUUAACUCCUUGUGAUCGUAAUAAGCAUUGGAAACAAAAAUGUAUACAUGGGAGAACAAAAAUUGCUGGAUACCAACGUUAUUUAUGACUUUUGUCUGCCAACCUAAUUUUACCAAUUUUCAAUGUUCCCCUUGAUGGUUGUACCGCCGGCUCAAGUUUCUUCAGAGUUCAGCUUAAACUUCCUCUUUCUCUCAUUUCCCCUUCCAUCACCUCAUUUCAAUAUCAUAUCUCAUUGAAAACCUAAUCUCUUUUGCACAACAAUUUCAUUCACCCAAGUUGUUAAAACCCUCAUCGCCUCCCCUUCCGGCAUCAUCAUCUGAAGACCACCGAAAGAGUGUUAUUUAUACUAUAGGUUGAUUUCGGUGAGAAUUUCAGCUUAUAUUUUGAUUUCGGUUGAUGAUUCCGGUGAGAAUUUCAGCUUUUGAUUUGUUUCUACUAUAAGUUUUAGAAUCCAUCAUGUAGCAUGUUGCAAUUGAUGGGAGGAUAAGGCUGAAACUCUGCCCUGUUGGUCAAUGCUUUUAUCCUACUGCCUUGGUGUAUCACAACAAAUUGCUUCAUAUAAUAAGAAGAUAAGGUGCAAUCAUGGCUAAAAAAAGGUCAAGGAGGGUACUGUGGCAACUUUGCUUUUGUUGGGACUUUUUGUUAAUUGUGCAGCUACAUUGGUGAGGAUCACUAUAUAACAUUUUCAUCUUUACAAUUAUAGGAAAAAUGUUGAUAUUUGAGAUAAGACACUAAGGAAUUGCCAUCAAAUUUCAAUGAUAUCUUCUAUUUCUACUUGGUGCUUUGGUUAGUCCUAAGUUGAAUGAUUGUGAGAACAAGUGGAAUUGUAUACUCCAAUUUGUUUGUGAACCAGACUUGCAUUUCAAGGUUGCUGGUGGCUGGGACGAUUUGUAUUGCAAAGAGACUUUUUGAAAGGACUAUGAUAAAGCUUUCUGCAACAUUUAGUGGAAACAAUGAUACUAUCUAUUUAAAAGUGAUACCAUCCACUGUUUAGUGUUAUCUUUCAGUUUGCUUACCACCAAAAUAUUGGUUGGGUUUAAGUUUGAUUCUUUUUUUUAAGAUUAAUUAGUUCCAGUAUUAAUUGUAUUAGCAUUUUGUGCAGGCAUUUGUGAUACUAUGUAUUUUUUCAAAUGCAGUUCAUGAUAAUUGAUAGAUAUAUCAUGGUGCAAUUUAGAGCAA